GACGAACGCUGGCGGCGUGCUUAACACAUGCAAGUCGAACGGAAAGGCCCUGCUUUUGUGGGGUGCUCGAGUGGCGAAGGGGGGAGUAACACGUGAGUAACCUGCCCUUGACUUUGGGGUAACUUCAGGAAACUGGGGCUAAUACCGGAUAGGAUCUCCUGCUGCAUGGGGGGGGUUGGAAAGUUUCGGCGGUGGGGGAUGGACUCGCGGCUUAUCAGCUUGUUUGUGGGGUAGUUGUUUACCAAGUCUUUGACGGGUAGGCGGCAUGGGAGGGUGACCGGGGUCCAGGGGACUACGGGACGCACCAGACGCGAAUGGUAGGCAGCAGUCGGAAAUAUGACACAAUGGCCCGACGUCUGAGACAGAAGCGUCGGGUGCGGGAUGCCGGCUUUUGGGUUAUGAACCGCUUUCGACUGUGACGAAGCGGGAGUGACGGUAAUGAAUAAAGAAGCACCGGCUAACUACGUG
rnacentral:rRNA from 1 species